UGCGUACCUUUUGUAUAAUGGGUCAGCGACUUAUAUUCUGUAGCAAGGUUAACCGAAUAGGGGAGCCGAAGGGAAACCGAGUCUUAACUGGGCGUUAAGUUGCAGGGUAUAGACCCGAAACCCGGUGAUCUAGCCAUGGGCAGGUUGAAGGUUGGGUAACACUAACUGGAGGACCGAACCGACUAAUGUUGAAAAAUUAGCGGAUGACUUGUGGCUGGGGGUGAAAGGCCAAUCAAACCGGGAGAUAGCUGGUUCUCCCCGAAAGCUAUUUAGGUAGCGCCUCGUGAAUUCAUCUCCGGGGGUAGAGCACUGUUUCGGCAAGGGGGUCAUCCCGACUUACCAACCCGAUGCAAACUGCGAAUACCGGAGAAUGUUAUCACGGGAGACACACGGCGGGUGCUAACGUCCGUCGUGAAGAGGGAAACAACCCAGACCGCCAGCUAAGGUCCCAAAGUCAUGGUUAAGUGGGAAACGAUGUGGGAAGGCCCAGACAGCCAGGAUGUUGGCUUAGAAGCAGCCAUCAUUUAAAGAAAGCGUAAUAGCUCACUGGUCGAGUCGGCCUGCGCGGAAGAUGUAACGGGGCUAAACCAUGCACCGAAGCUGCGGCAGCGACGCUUAUGCGUUGUUGGGUAGGGGAGCGUUCUGUAAGCCUGUGAAGGUGUACUGUGAGGUAUGCUGGAGGUAUCAGAAGUGCGAAUGCUGACAUAAGUAACGAUAAAGCGGGUGAAAAGCCCGCUCGCCGGAAGACCAAGGGUUCCUGUCCAACGUUAAUCGGGGCAGGGUGAGUCGACCCCUAAGGCGAGGCCGAAAGGCGUAGUCGAUGGGAAACAGGUUAAUAUUCCUGUACUUGGUGUUACUGCGAAGGGGGGACGGAGAAGGCUAUGUUGGCCGGGCGACGGUUGUCCCGGUUUAAGCGUGUAGGCUGGUUUUCCAGGCAAAUCCGGAAAAUCAAGGCUGAGGCGUGAUGACGAGGCACUACGGUGCUGAAGCAACAAAUGCCCUGCUUCCAGGAAAAGCCUCUAAGCAUCAGGUAACAUCAAAUCGUACCCCAAACCGACACAGGUGGUCAGGUAGAGAAUACCAAGGCGCUUGAGAGAACUCGGGUGAAGGAACUAGGCAAAAUGGUGCCGUAACUUCGGGAGAAGGCACGCUGAUAUGUAGGUGAAGCGACUUGCUCGUGGAGCUGAAAUCAGUCGAAGAUACCAGCUGGCUGCAACUGUUUAUUAAAAACACAGCACUGUGCAAACACGAAAGUGGACGUAUACGGUGUGACGCCUGCCCGGUGCCGGAAGGUUAAUUGAUGGGGUUAGCGGUAACGCGAAGCUCUUGAUCGAAGCCCCGGUAAACGGCGGCCGUAACUAUAACGGUCCUAAGGUAGCGAAAUUCCUUGUCGGGUAAGUUCCGACCUGCACGAAUGGCGUAAUGAUGGCCAGGCUGUCUCCACCCGAGACUCAGUGAAAUUGAACUCGCUGUGAAGAUGCAGUGUACCCGCGGCAAGACGGAAAGACCCCGUGAACCUUUACUAUAGCUUGACACUGAACAUUGAGCCUUGAUGUGUAGGAUAGGUGGGAGGCUUUGAAGUGUGGACGCCAGUCUGCAUGGAGCCGGCCUUGAAAUACCACCCUUUAAUGUUUGAUGUUCUAACGUUGGCCCCUGAUCGGGGUUGCGGACAGUGUCUGGUGGGUAGUUUGACUGGGGCGGUCUCCUCCUAAAGAGUAACGGAGGAGCACGAAGGUUGGCUAAUCCUGGUCGGACAUCAGGAGGUUAGUGCAAUGGCAUAAGCCAGCUUGACUGCGAGCGUGACGGCGCGAGCAGGUGCGAAAGCAGGUCAUAGUGAUCCGGUGGUUCUGAAUGGAAGGGCCAUCGCUCAACGGAUAAAAGGUACUCCGGGGAUAACAGGCUGAUACCGCCCAAGAGUUCAUAUCGACGGCGGUGUUUGGCACCUCGAUGUCGGCUCAUCACAUCCUGGGGCUGAAGUAGGUCCCAAGGGUAUGGCUGUUCGCCAUUUAAAGUGGUACGCGAGCUGGGUUUAGAACGUCGUGAGACAGUUCGGUCCCUAUCUGCCGUGGGCGCUGGAGAACUGAGGGGGGCUGCUCCUAGUACGAGAGGACCGGAGUGGACGCAUCACUGGUGUUCGGGUUGUCAUGCCAAUGGCACUGCCCGGUAGCUAAAUGCGGAAGAGAUAAGUGCUGAAAGCAUCUAAGCACGAAACUUGCCCCGA
rnacentral:rRNA from 1 species